rnacentral:lncRNA from 1 species
GAUCCAUACACAGACUUUGCAAGUACUUGACUGUACCCAGUAGCCUUCCAUCACUACAUUAAAAAUUUAAGAAGUUCGGCACCAAAGCACAGUGAGUUGCUUGCAAGUCACUAUAGUGAUCUCAGGUCUGAAGGAUAUUUAUACUUUUGUGUUUCACGAGCAGCUCUUGACAGCAAAAUGCUCAGCAGGUGAGUCACUUGUUCAGUGAUGAUGUACCCUUAUAUCUCAUCUGUAUGCCGUACCAGUAUCACCAUACUCCUUGAUUAAGAGGACAACCAAUCCAUAUGGCACACAACGACC